GCAGAAAUAGCUUACGGAAAGCGCCGGGAUGGCAAGUCCCGGAGAUGUGCCCGGUUACGGCGCCUGUGCCGGGUGAGCGUUCGACUCGCACUUUCUGCU
rnacentral:tRNA from 1 species